rnacentral:rRNA from 1 species
GUGGACGCCAGUCUGCAUGGAGCCGACCUUGAAAUACCACCCUUUAAUGUUUGAUGUUCUAACGUGGACCCGUAAUCCGGGUUGCGGACAGUGUCUGGUGGGUAGUUUGACUGGGGCGGUCUCCUCCUAAAGAGUAACGGAGGAGCACGAAGGUUGGCUAAUCCUGGUCGGACAUCAGGAGGUUAGUGCAAUGGCAUAAGCCAGCUUGACUGCGAGCGUGACGGCGCGAGCAGGUGCGAAAGCAGGUCAUAGUGAUCCGGUGGUUCUGAAUGGAAGGGCCAUCGCUCAACGGAUAAAAGGUACUCCGGGGAUAACAGGCUGAUACCGCCCAAGAGUUCAUAUCGACGGCGGUGUUUGGCACCUCGAUGUCGGCUCAUCACAUCCUGGGGCUGAAGUAGGUCCCAAGGGUAUGGCUGUUCGCCAUUUAAAGUGGUACGCGAGCUGGGUUUAGAACGUCGUGAGACAGUUCGGUCCCUAUCUGCCGUGGGCGCUGGAGAACUGAGGGGGGCUGCUCCUAGUACGAGAGGACCGGAGUGGACGCAUCACUGGUGUUCGGGUUGUCAUGCCAAUGGCACUGCCCGGUAGCUAAAUGCGGAAGAGAUAAGUGCUGAAAGCAUCUAAGCACGAAACUUGCCCCGAGAUGAGUUCUCCCUGAGACUUAGAGUCUCCUGAAGGAACGUUGAAGACGACGACGUUGAUAGGCCGGGUGUGUAAGCGCAGCGAUGCGUUGAGCUAA